UCUUCACCAAUUUAUACUCCCACAAGCAGUGUACGAAAUAUCCUGUUCUCCACAUCCUUGCCAGAACUUCAUGCAGUCAGACUGCCGUUUUUGCCAAUCAGGUUACUAUUGGGUCUAUCCACAGCAACAUUUCCCCAAUGACUCUCUACAGGAGGGAGAAAAAUGAGGCUGAGACUAAGCUGGAUGGAUGUGAAUUCUUGGAUGCAUCACUGCAGCCAGCACACCCUACAAGUUCUCCCAGUGGCACAGGUGGGAUCAGGAGGAAACUUUUCUAAACUGCCUUGACCCUACAGUGAGGAGAAAAUGAUGAGCGAAUACAAAUGAAACUCUAUGAAAACCAUACGGUGGUUCGGAGUCAAGGAAAAGAGGCUACACAAAAGUUACACUAAAAACAGAGCGAAGGAGUGUGAAGGGAAAAUGACCAAGACUGAGUGGAGAACAAAACCUAUGGAGAACUAGACAGUUUAUAUGAAGAACCCCGGGGGAGUCAUUUUGGAGCCGUGCCGCUGAUUAUGAAUAUCAUAAAAACUUUGCAUGAAUGUGGGUGUUGCUGCAAGAGGAAAAAAUACAAGAAUACGGCAGAGUCAUUUUAUAUGUGGUACAUUACAUGGCAAAUAAGUGACAAUAUAUGAUGUGUUUGUGGCUAUUCUCGAGUAAGAAUCAGGGCAUGGAUAAGUAAAACAUGUUUAAACGGAGCUUCAAUGUACAGGUCCUAAAAGGAGACAAUAUUGCCCUCUCAAAUCUUUUUCUCUUCAGUAUGUUUAUAUUGAAAAGCCUAUAAUUAAUGGUUGCUAAGGAAUAAAGUGAUGAUUUUAUGUGCUUUGUUAUAAAGUCGAUAAUAUAAAAAAUUAAAAAGUA